rnacentral:rRNA from 1 species
UACGAAGGGUGCAAGCGUUACUCGGAAUUACUGGGCGUAAAGCGUGCGCAGGUGGUUUGUUAAGUCUGUUGUGAAAGCCCCGGGCUCAACCUGGGAAUGGCAAUGGAUACUGGCAAGCUAGAGUGCGGUAGAGGGUAGUGGAAUUCCCGGUGUAGCGGUGAAAUGCGUAGAGAUCGGGAGGAACACCAGUGGCGAAGGCGGCUCCCUGGACCAGCACUGACACUGAGGCACGAAAGCGUGGGGAGCAAACAGG